GGACGAACGCUGGCGGCGUGCUUAACACAUGCAAGUCGAACGAGGUCCAGUGAUCCUUCGGGUGAGCGAAGACCUAGUGGCGAACGGGUGCGUAACACGUGAGAAACCUGCCCCAGACUUGGGAAUAACAGUCGGAAACGACUGCUAAUACCGAAUACCUUCGUAACGUCGCAUGGCGAAUCGAAGAAAGCUUUUGCGGUUUGGGAGGGUCUCGCGGCCUAUCAGCUAGUUGGUGAGGUAACGGCUCACCAAGGCAUCGACGGGUAGCUGGUCUGAGAGGAUGAUCAGCCACACUGGGACUGAGACACGGCCCAGACUCCUACGGGAGGCAGCAGUGGGGAAUCUUGCACAAUGGGCGAAAGCCUGAUGCAGCAACGCCGCGUGCGGGAAGAAGGCCUUAGGGUUGUAAACCGCUUUCAGCAGGGAAGAAAAUGACGGUACCUGCAGAAGAAGGUGCGGCCAACUACGUGCCAGCAGCCGCGGUGACACGUAGGCACCAAGCGUUGUCCGGAUUUAUUGGGCGUAAAGAGCUCGUAGGCGGUUCAGUAAGUCGGGUGUGAAAACUCUGGGCUCAACCCAGAGAGGCCACCCGAUACUGCUGUGACUUGAGUACGGUAGGGGAGUGGGGAAUUCCUGGUGUAGCGGUGAAAUGCGCAGAUAUCAGGAGGAACACCAGUGGCGAAGGCGCCACUCUGGGCCGUAACUGACGCUGAGGAGCGAAAGCGUGGGUAGCAAACAGGAUUAGAUACCCUGGUAGUCCACGCCGUAAACGUUGGGCACUAGGUGUGGGUCUCAACCAACGAGAUCCGCGCCGUCGCUAACG
rnacentral:rRNA from 1 species